rnacentral:rRNA from 1 species
CCUACGGGGGGCAGCAGUGAGGAAUAUUGGUCAAUGGUCGGGAGACUGAACCAGCCAAGCCGCGUGAGGGAGGAAGGUACAGAGUAUCGUAAACCUCUUUUGUCAGGGAACAAAGACUGGGACGCGUCCCCGGAUGAGUGUACCUGAAGAAAAAGCAUCGGCUAACUCCGUGCCAGCAGCCGCGGUAAUACGGAGGAUGCGAGCGUUAUCCGGAUUUAUUGGGUUUAAGGGGUGCGCAGGCGGUCUGUUAAGUCAGCGGUCAAAGCCCGGGGCUAAACCCCGGCCCGCCGUUGAAACUGGGAGUGUCGAGGUGGAGAGAAGUAUGCGGAAUGCGCGGGGGAGCGGUGAAAUGCAGAG